rnacentral:lncRNA from 1 species
GAACUUUUAUGGAAAGUUAUUAGCUGUUUUAAAAAGCGUGACAAUAAUGACAUCAUUCCACCCGUUUUUCAGAAAGCAACAAGGAGUCACAAUUAUGAACAGUCUUUUUGUUCGUUCUGUUUUGAUUGUUUAUGUGAUCCUCAUGUUAAUUUGAACAAUAUGGACGCCAAACGGUCCCUCUCUGAUCUACGACUAUCAGUAAUAACAUCAGUGACACCACCAGAUGUCAGAAGAACAAUAUUAAAAAUAGUUUCCGAAGAUGCGAUUAACG